CCUACGGGAGGCAGCAGUAGGGAAUAUUGCUCAAUGGGGGAAACCCUGAAGCAGCAACGCCGCGUGAAGGAUGAAGGUUUUCGGAUUGUAAACUCCUUUUGUUAGAGAAGAUAAUGACGGUAUCUAACGAAUAAGCACCGGCUAACUCCGUGCCAGACGCCGCGGUAAUACGGAGGGUGCAAGCGUUACUCGGAAUCACUGGGCGUAAAGAGCGCGUAGGCGGGGUCGCAAGUCAGAUGUGAAAUCCCAGGGCUUAACCAUAGAACUGCAUUUGAAACUGUUUGUCUAGAGUAUGGGAGAGGCAGGCGGAAUUCUUGGUGUAGGGGUGAAAUGCGUAGAUAUUAGGAGGAAUACUCGUGGCGAAGGCGACCUGCUAGAACAUAACUGACGCUGAGGCGCGAAAGCGUGGGGAGCAAACAGGAUUAGAUACCCGUGUAGUC
rnacentral:rRNA from 1 species